rnacentral:rRNA from 1 species
CCUACGGGCGACAGCAGUGGGGGAUAUUGGACAAUGGGGGAAACCCUGAUCCCGCGACGCCGCGUGAGUGAAGAAGUAUUUCGGUAUGUAACGCUCUAUCAGCAGGGAAGAAAGAAAUGACGGUACCUGAGUAAGAAGCCCCGGCUAACUACGUGCCAGCAGCCGCGGGAAUACGUAGGGGGCAAGCGUUAUCCGGAAUUACUGGGUGUAAAGGGAGCGUAGACGGUAAUGCAAGUCUGGAGUGAAAGGCGGGGGCCCAACCCCCGGACUGCUCUGGAAACUGUGUAACUGGAGUGCAGGAGAGGCAGGCGGAAUUCCUAGUGUAGCGGUGAAAUGCGUAGAUAUUAGGAGGAACACCAGUGGCGAAGGCGGCCUGCUGGACUGUAACUGACGUUGAGGCUCGAAAGCGUGGGGAGCAAACAGGAUUAGAUACCCGUGUAGUC